GUCCAGACUCCUACGGGAGGCAGCAGUGGGGAAUAUUGCACAAUGGGGGAAACCCUGAUGCAGCGACGCCGCGUGAGCGAUGAAGUAUUUCGGUAUGUAAAGCUCUAUCAGCAGGGAAGAAAAUGACGGUACCUGACUAAGAAGCCCCGGCUAACUACGUGCCAGCAGCCGCGGUAAUACGUAGGGGGCAAGCGUUAUCCGGAUUUACUGGGUGUAAAGGGAGCGUAGACGGCUGUGCAGGCCAGAUGUGAAAGCCCGGGGCUCAACCCCGGGACUGCAUUUGGAACUGUGUGGCUGGAGUGUCGGAGAGGCAGGCGGAAUUCCUAGUGUAGCGGUGAAAUGCGUAGAUAUUAGGAGGAACACCAGUGGCGAAGGCGGCCUGCUGGACGAUGACUGACGUUGAGGCUCGAAAGCGUGGGGAGCAAACAGGAUUAGAUACCCUAGUAGCC
rnacentral:rRNA from 1 species